rnacentral:hammerhead_ribozyme from 1 species
GUACUUCUGAAGAGUCCUACAAUAGGACAAAACGGCUGUCCAGUGC